GUCACGAUAGCUCAAUUGGUAGAGCAGCGGUGUUUCUAGCCGAAGAUCGUGGGUUCGAACCCCAUUCGUGACA